GGAAGCGGAGAGAACGACCGCCGCCUCAGCGCCUCGGCCCCGGACGCCCCCAGCGGCCGCACCCUGCAGCGCACCCGCGGGGCGGAAGCAGGAGCAGCGGGAGGGCGGGGAAAUUCGGGGCGGGAGGGUGCCUCCGCGGGGAAUCUAACCCACUACGGCAGUUAGCCGCGCGCCACGCUUCUCGGGUUAAAAAAAGACAAACCCGGCCAAAAAAGCUUACUUUUGCAGCUUCCUCUGCGCCUUUCCUUUCAGUUUCCUUGCACCCCCUCUUUUCUUCCCUUUCCUGUGAUUUCUUUCCCUGGGGUUUAAGAAUCAUGGGUUAAAAAGGGCAAACAAUCUACUACGUUGUUUGGGUCAAACGGAGAUCCAAGAACUAAAAUUUCCUUUCGAGUCUCUAAAUUCACGAGACUUCAAAUGUAAAACGAAGACAAGAUAGGAAAAAGGAAAGGGAUUAAGGUGAUGAAGGCCUUCGAAGUGCCCAUGCAAGGCACUGCUCAGCCAUUUUCUCGUGUUGAUGCCCUGUCUAAUCUUUGUCACCCAGGAUAAAAGAUAAUAAUCUGUCUAUAUAAAGAAGAGAAAUACUUAAAAUCAAAUUCUCCAAGGCAGGCUUUAAAAAUCUCCCUAGAUGAAUAGCAAUCAUUUGCCUUCUGUAGGCAUAUGCAGUGUCUACUGUUAAAUGUGUAUGACUUAGUUACAUAAUGUUCCUGUUUUGUUUGUUUGCUUUGCAGUCCUGGGGAUUGAACCUAGGGGUCCUGGAUGUACAUGCCAGCUAAGCUACACCCCCCCCCCCCCCCCUUUGUUUUGAGACAGUCUUAUCAAAUUGUCCAGGCUGGCCUCAAACUUGUGAGUCUCCUGCCUCGGCCUCCCAACUAGCAGGAACUACAGAUGAAAGAACUGAGGCAUGGGGAAAUUAAGCAACUCUUACAAGAUUACCCAAUCGUUUUCUUUCUUGAUAACACUCCACGAAGAGCAAGGAGCGGCUGGGUCCUCCAAGGCUCCAUGAGACCUUGAUACUAUAUCUGGCUACAGAGUCCACCAGGACUAGGGCUUCAACUUGGCUUAAGAACUACAAUUUCCUGCUCUAGCAACACAAUUAGCACCUUUCACAGUAGCACAGAUGUGGAAUCAACCUACAUGUCCAUGAAAGGAUGAAUGCAUGCGGAAAAUGUGACAGCUAUGGACUGAAACUUCUACAAACUGCGAAUCAAAAUAAAUCUUUCCUCCUUUAACUUGUGGGUAUCAAGUGUUUUGUCCCAGCAAUAAGAAAGUAAUUAAGACAACUACUUUGGCUGAGC
rnacentral:lncRNA from 1 species